rnacentral:lncRNA from 10 species
GUCCAGUAACAUCUUUCUUGCAAACCACCAAAGGGUCAAUACUGAGGAGAUGCCUCAACCCAAAGGAAAUAGAUGGCAGCACUGACUGGAUGACUUUGGGUAAGUGGUGGGGUACCCACUUUCUUUUGGUCUCCGCCUUCAAGGGAACAUAAAUUUUAGGGUUCGUGUCAUAGCUCUAAAAAUCACAUUAAAUAGUUAAACAACCGGUACCAGCCACUGCAAAAUCAUGCCAAAAUGUAAAGACCAUCCAGACUAGGAAGAAACUGCACCAACUAACCAGGACACAGAAGAGGUGUAUCCUUCCAAAGAGUUUCUCAUGCCUCUUUUUAGUAAACCCCUCCACUUUUUUCUAGAAUCCAGGGGUAUCCAAACUUUUGGCUUCCCUGGGCCACAUUGGAACAAGAAUUGUCUUGGGCCACACAUCAAUACACUACCACUAACAAUAGUGAUGAACUUAAAAAAAAAUCUCAUAAUGUUUUAAGAAAGUUUACGAAUUUGUGUUGGGCUGCAUUCAAACAAUUCUUUGUUAAAUGCACUAAGAACCUGGACAACUCACAGUCAGGACUUCAUAUCUGGAAACAGUCUUAGUAAAUAUGAUGGUUAAUAUUAAGGGUCAAUUUGAUUGUAUUGAAACACGCAGAAUGAUAUCCAUUUCCUAAACAACCUUCCACAAGUUUUUCUGGUCAAGAGUUACCUUUCUGUUAGGUUAUCAAAAUUGUUAAAAUUGUUAAUAUAUACUCAUCUAAAUGAUACUUGAAAGAGCAGUUAUUUUAACUAAAAUAUAGCUAGAUGAAAUUAAAAUUAUUUUGAUGGAUUGAUUUUUAAUAAAAUAGUUUAUUUUCAAAAUCUUUUGCUUUUGAAGUUACUGAAUUUGCUUUCAGAUUACUUUUCAAGAUUGUUUCUUCCUGUUUCAUUUUCAGAUUCAUUGUUCC